rnacentral:ncRNA from 1 species
GACGCCGCGAGGCCAAGCUGAAAGCAGGGUGUAGCCAAGACACGACCGUAGGAACACGAACAGGCAGCGAGGCCGGAUGCGGGCGAUGAGCGUGCUAGGGAACGCGAAAUCCAACCGUCACCGAAAGACGUCUCCGGUAGAGCCUGGCGGCACGGGUCGAAAGUACAUGUUC